AGUGAACGCUGGCGGUAGGCCUAACACAUGCAAGUCGAACGGCAGCACAUUAAGAGCUUGCUCUUACGGGUGGCGAGUGGCGGACGGGUGAGGAAUACAUCGGAAUCUACUUUUUCGUGGGGGAUAACGUAGGGAAACUUACGCUAAUACCGCAUACGACCUACGGGUGAAAGCAGGGGCUCUUCGUACCUUGCGCGAUUGAAUGAGCCGAUGUCGGAUUAGCUAUUUGGCGGGGUAAAGGCCCACCAAGGCGACGAUCAGUAGCUGGUCUGAGAGAAUGAUCAGAGACACUGGAACUGAAAGACGGUCCAGACUCCUACGGGAGGCAGCAGUAGGGAAUAUUGGACAAUGGGAGCAAGCCUGAUCCAGCAAUACGGCAAGGGUGAAGAAGGCCUUCGGGUUGUAAAGCCCUUUUGUUGGGAAAGAAAAGCAGCAGGUUAAUAACAAGAUGUUAUGACGGUACCCAAAGAAUAAGCACCGGCUAACUUCGUG
rnacentral:rRNA from 1 species